CCGAUAUCAAUAAAAUGUUUGCCUUCUAAAUUUCUCUUGUUCUUCUCUUUGAAAGGCAUGGAAAGGCUGAUCCUAAGUUAGUAUAGGGCUAGGAAAUAUUGGGAAAGUUGAGCUUGCUAUGAGUACAAUAGUUUUCCGAAGCUUUGACAGUAUGUCUGUAGUAGUGCGAAAGUUUUUCCGAGUUGAGUAGCUUGGCUAGGAAGCCAGCCCAUUUUGUAGGAAAAACUUUCAUAUCUACGAUCUUUCAAACCGUCCGACUAACUUGACAAGCCAUCCUUCGGGUUGUUGAAGUCAGGUUUGUGGCAAGUCGUCCUUCGGGAUGUUGAAGCCCAGUCCUACUAUGGAAGAAAACUAUUGUGCUUGUAGUUUGGCUGUCUUACUUGGUGUUUCCCCGCCCUCUACAUACCCAGAAUUUGUCUAAUUAUGAUUUAGAAUCUGAUCUUAUCAAAAUCAUAUCAGAAUUUUAUUCAAUCUUAAUAGAAUUAGAUUUGUCAACACAUACCAUCUGCAAGCCUAGGUAAACUUUACUGCUCGUUUUUCUCCUCAACAAACUCCUUGGAUCAUGGAUAGUGGAGCCACUCAUCAUAUUGCCUAUGCUGCGCAAAGCCUAGCCAUUGUACAUGACUUCCAUGACAUUGAAGAGAUAAUUAUGGGCAAUGGUAACACCAUCCAAUAUCCCAUACGGAUCUGAGUACGGUGGCGUAUCUAGUUCGCGGGUAGAAUAAAGAUGGGUUGUAUGAGUGGCCACAGGGUUGAACAGAUUGUUCUCCUCAAUACAGUGUGGUUGUUCCUAUUUACCUGUGGCAUCAGCAUUUAGGCCAUCCUAAUCAUCGCGUUUUAAAUACUAUCUUGAAUAACUUUUCCUUUCCUAUUUCAGAUCCUAAACCUAGUUCCAUUUGUAAUUCCUGUUAUUCAAGUAAAAUGCACAGGUUGACUUUUUCAGAAA